rnacentral:rRNA from 1 species
CCUACGGGAGGCAGCAGUGAGGAAUAUUGGUCAAUGGGCGGAAGCCUGAACCAGCCAAGUAGCGUGCAGGAUGACGGCCCUACGGGUUGUAAACUGCUUUUAUACGGGAAUAACGCGCCUUCCGUGUAGGUCUUUGCAUGUACCGUAUGAAUAAGGACCGGCUAAUUCCGUUCCAGCAGCCGCGGUAAUACGGAUGGUCCGGGCGUUAUCCGGAUUUAUUGGGUUUAAAGGGUGCGUAGGCCGCAGGUCAAGCGAGCUGUGAAAUGUCCGGGCUCAACCCGGGCCUUGCAGCGCGAACUGGCGUGCGUGAGUCCGCGGAAAGCAGGCGGAAUUCGUGGUGUAGCGGUGAAAUGCUUAGAUAUGACGAAGAACCCCGAUUGCGAAGGCAGCUUGCUGCAGCGGAACUGACGCUGAUGCUCGAAAGCGCGGGUAUCGAACAGGAUUAGAUACCCGGGUAGUC